GCUGGGCCUGGAACACGGAGCAGUGGCUGCCCUGCGAGGAGUCUCCCCUGCAAGUCCUAGAGCAGCUCCAGCAGGAUGGCGGCUCCAGCGUCUCUAAGGCCUGCAGGGAGUCCAGCCCCAUGGGGGGCGCCCUAGGCCUCCGACAGCUCCCCAUCUGUGCUCCUGCCUGCCGGCCAUCCUCAGGCCACUCGCCAUGGGCGGCUGCUUCUCCAAACCCAAACCAGUGGAGCUCAAGAUCGAGGUGGUGCUGCCUGAGAAGGAGCGAGGCAAGGAGGAGUUGUCGGCCAGUGGGAAGGGCAGCCCUCGGGCCUACCAGGGCAACGGCACGGCCCGCCACUUCCACACGGAGGAGCGCCUGUCCACCCCUCACCCCUACCCCAGCCCUCAGGAUUGCGUGGAGGCUGCUGUCUGCCACGUCAAAGACCUUGAGAAUGGCCAGCGUUCUGUCCCGUGGUCGGGUGCGCUGCCCCUGGCACGGCGCCUGCUUCAACAUCAGCACUGGGGACCUGGAGGACUUCCCCGGCCUGGACAGUCUGCACAAGUUCCAGGUGGGGCCAGGAGUGCGGUAGGGUGGGAACCUGGGGUUGUGGGGUUCGGGGCUGGUCCUGAGCAAUGUAGCCCUUGCAGGUGAAGAUUGAGAAGG
rnacentral:sRNA from 1 species